GACGAACGCUGGCGGCGUGCUUAACACAUGCAAGUCGAACGGAAAGGCCCUGCUUUUGUUGGGUUCUCGAGUGGCGAACUGGUGAGCAACUCGUUAGUAUCCCGCCCUUGCCUUUGUGAUGACUUCAGGAAACUGCGGCUAAUACCGGUUCUGAGCCCCUCCUACAUGGUGGGCGGGAGAAGGUUUCGGCGGUUGGGGAGGUACUCGCGGCUUUUCAGCUUGUUGGUGGGGUAGUGGUUUACCAAGGCUUGGACGGAUAGCCGGUGUGAGCGGGUGACCGGGCACAAUGGCACUGAGACAGGGACCAGAAUACUAGGGGAGGAAGGAGUAGGGGAUAUUGCACUGUGGGAGGGAGGCUGAUGCAGCGACGCCGGGUGGGGGGUGACGGCCUUCGGGUUGUAGCCGGCUAUCGCCUGUGGCGAAGCGUGAGUGACGGUAAUGGGUAAAGAAGCGCCGGCUAACUACGUG
rnacentral:rRNA from 1 species